rnacentral:rRNA from 1 species
AUUGAACGCUGGCGGCAUGCCUUACACAUGCAAGUCGAACGGCAGCACGGGAGCAAUCCUGGUGGCGAGUGGCGAACGGGUGAGUAAUACAUCGGAACGUGCCCAAUCGUGGGGGAUAACGCAGCGAAAGCUGUGCUAAUACCGCAUAAGAUCUACGGAUGAAAGCAGGGGAUCGCAAGACCUUGCGCGAAUGGAGCGGCCGAUGGCAGAUUAGGUAGUUGGUGAGGUAAAGGCUCACCAAGCCUUCGAUCUGUAGCUGGUCUGAGAGGACGACCAGCCACACUGGGACUGAGACACGGCCCAGACUCCUACGGGAGGCAGCAGUGGGGAAUUUUGGACAAUGGGCGCAAGCCUGAUCCAGCCAUGCCGCGUGCAGGAUGAAGGCCUUCGGGUUGUAAACUGCUUUUGUACGGAACGAAACGGUCCCUUCUAAUACAGGGGGCUAAUGACGGUACCGUAAGAAUAAGCACCGGCUAACUACGUG